rnacentral:rRNA from 1 species
GACCUUCGGGCCUUGCGCUAUCAGAUGAGCCUAGGUCGGAUUAGCUAGUUGGUGAGGUAAUGGCUCACCAAGGCGACGAUCCGUAACUGGUCUGAGAGGAUGAUCAGUCACACUGGAACUGAGACACGGUCCAGACUCCUACGGGAGGCAGCAGUGGGGAAUAUUGGACAAUGGGCGAAAGCCUGAUCCAGCCAUGCCGCGUGUGUGAAGAAGGUCUUCGGAUUGUAAAGCACUUUAAGUUGGGAGGAAGGGCAUUAACCUAAUACGUUAGUGUUUUGACGUUACCGACAGAAUAAGCACCGGCUAACUCUGUGCCAGCAGCCGCGGUAAUACAGAGGGUGCAAGCGUUAAUCGGAAUUACUGGGCGUAAAGCGCGCGUAGGUGGUUUGUUAAGUUGGAUGUGAAAUCCCCGGGCUCAACCUGGGAACUGCAUUCAAAACUGACUGACUAGAGUAUGGUAGAGGGUGGUGGAAUUUCCUGUGUAGCGGUGAAAUGCGUAGAUAUAGGAAGGAACACCAGUGGCGAAGGCGACCACCUGGACUAAUACUGACAUGAGUGCGAAAGCGUGGGGAGCAAACAGGAUUAGAUACCCUGGUAGUCCAGCCGUAAACGAUGUCAACUAGCCGUUGGAAGCCUUGAGCUUUUAGUGGCGCAGCUAACGCAUUAAGUUGACCGCCUGGGGAGUACGGCCGCAAGGUUAAAACUCAAAUGAAUUGACGGGGGCCCGCACAAGCGGUGGAGCAUGUGGUUUAAUUCGAAGCAACGCGAAGAACCUUACCAGGCCUUGACAUCCAAUGAACUUUCUAAAAAUAGAUUGGUGCCUUCCGAAACUUUAAAAAAGUGCUCAUGGCUGUCUCACUUCCUGUCAUAAGAUGUUCGGUUAAGCCCGUAACACGAGCGCAACCCUUGUC